AAUUAAAGAACAAAUUGGUCCUUUUUAUUAAAAACUAGUGUGGCUGACGAAAUAAUCAGACAAGUACACAUGGCAUGUCAUAUGUACUUUAUACUAACAUACAGGGACCAAUUCUUAACAAUAGAAAUGAAUGAAAUUUUUAAUA
rnacentral:pre_miRNA from 1 species